UAAAAAUCCUGUUUCUAUAUACUUUGAAAUGAAAGGAAAAUGGUUUGUGUUGUUGAGGGUAUGAAGGUGUAAGAUUGAAUCCUCAGUGUUGUUGAGGGUAUGAAGGUGUAAGAUUUAAUCCUCAGUGUUGUUGAGGGUAUGAAGGUGCAAGAUUGAAUAAUCAGUGUUGUUGAGGGUAUGAAGGUGCAAGAUUGAAUCUUCAGUGUUGGUGAGGGUAUGAAGGUGCAAGAUUGAAUCUUCAGUGUUGUUGAGGGUAUGAAGGUGCAAGAUUGAAUCUUCAGUGUUGUUGAGGGUAUGAAGGUGCAAGAUUGAAUUUUCAGUGUUGGUGAGGGUAUGAAGGUGCAAGAUUGAAUAAUCAGUGUUGUUGAGGGUAUGAAGGUGCAAGAUUGAAUCUUCAGUGAAGGUGAGGGUAUGAAGGUGCAAGAUUGAAUAAUCAGUGUUGGUGAGGGUAUGAAGGUGCAAGAUUGAAUAAUCAGUGUUGUUGAGGGUAUGAAGGUGCAAGAUUGAAUCUUCAGUGAAGGUGAGGGUAUGAAGGUGCAAGAUUGAAUCCUCAGUGUUGGUGAGGGUAUGAAGGUGUAAAAUUGAAUCCUCAGUGUUGGUGAGGGUAUGAAGGUGUAAGAUUGAAUCUUCAGUGUUGUUGAGGGUAUGAAGGUGUAAGAUUGAAUCUUCAGUGUUGUUGAGGGUAUGAAGGUGUAAGAUUGAAUCUUCAGUGUUGGUGAGGGUAUGAAGGUGUAAGAUUGAAUCCUCAGUGUUGGUGAGGGUAUGAAGGUGCAAGAUUGAAUCCUCAGUGUUGUUGAGGGUAUGAAGGUGCAAGAUUGAAUCCUCAGUGUUGGUGAGGGUAUGAAGGGGUAAGAUUGAAUCCUCAGUGUUGGUGAGGGUAUGAAGGUGCAAGAUUGAAUCCUCAGUGUUGGUGAGGGUAUGAAGGUGUAAGAUUGAAUCCUCAGUGUUGGUGAGGGUAUGAAGGUGUAAGAUUGAAUCCUCAGUGUUGGUGAGGGUAUGAAGGGUAAGAUUGAAUCCUCAGUGUUGGUGAGGGUAUAAAGGGUAAGAUUGAAUCCUCAGUGUUGGUGAGGGUAUAAAGGGUAAGAUUGAAUCCUCAGUAGCUAACUUUGUGGUAGUUUAAACCACAAAUAUAAGGUUUCAUAUUAUAAUUUUUAAAGUAGAAAAACUUAGGUUAAUUUUUUAGGGAACUUUGUUGCUAUAGUUAAGGGGCCAGUGAAGGGUGGCAGAUCACUCAGUCCUAAGCCAGGUCUACAGUUGUUAUUGUUU